AGUAACACGUAAGGAACCUGCCACGCACAGGGGGAUAGCAGCCGGAAACGACUAUUAAUACCCCAUGACACCUCACUUUCGCAUGAAAGAGAGGUCAAAGAUUUAUCGGUGUGUGAUGGCCUUGCGUCUGAUUAGCUUGUUGGUGGGGUAAAGGCCUACCAAGGCGAUGAUCAGUAGCCGGCUUGAGAGAGUGUACGGCCACAUUGGGACUGAGACACGGCCCAGACUCC
rnacentral:rRNA from 1 species